rnacentral:rRNA from 1 species
AGUAAACAUAAUUAAGUUGGGGACUCUAGUGAGACUGCCUACGCAAGUAGAGAGGAAGGUGGGGAUGGCGUCAAAUCAUCACGGCCCUUACGCCUUGGGCCACACACGUAAUACAAUGGCCGGUACAGAGGGCAGCUACACAGGGAUGUGAUGCAAAUCUCGAAAGCCGGUCUCAGUUCGGAUUGGAGUCUGCAACUCGACUCUAUGAAGCUGGAAUCGCUAGUAAUCGCGCAUCAGCCAUGGCGCGGUGAAUACGUUCCCGGGCCUUGUACACACCGCCCGUCAAGCCAUGGAAGUCUGGGGUACCUGAAGUCGGUGACCGUAACAGGAGC